rnacentral:pre_miRNA from 3 species
GAAAACUUAUAAACUACCGAUGGAUCGAAAAAUGGACGUCUGAGAUUCAUUCACAUCACCAUGAGUAAAAAUGCUACUCAUGGUGAUGUGAAUGAAUCUCAAACGUCCUUUUUUGAUUCAAUGGUAGUUCAGCGUCCUC